rnacentral:lncRNA from 1 species
UUGCGCCGGGCUUGUCAGAAUCCAGACUAACAAUCCAGAAAUUGUCGGAGUGGAACCCAGCUCUCCAGACUUCAACAGCCUGCCCCAGGGAUUCUGCUGGAAGCUGAAGUUGAGAAUCCUGUACUGCUGCCUUGUUUUCCAUAAGGUUAGGCUAACACAUGGGCUGGGUGUGAACCUGGGCCAGGCAUCCUUUUAGCCAUACAAAUAUUAACUCAGGGAAGUUCACAAAUGACUCCGUGAGAAAACCUAAUGAAGUGGAGGUGCACAGUGGCAGAGGAAACCAGGCAGCUUUGAGCAGCCAAAAGGAUUCUAGAGUCAAGCUCUUCUGGGCUGAGACAAAAAUCCCCAGCAGUGUGUCUGGCUCCUAGAGGACAUUCUGGGCCUGGCUGAGAAUGCGGUCCUACAGGUGGCAUUACCUCACCUGAGAGAGACGAUGGCCCCCGUUCUCUGAGAUCUGCUGCUUUGUCAAGACUGAGGUAUAUGU